rnacentral:lncRNA from 1 species
AUGAUCUUUCUAGAGAGAAGGGGUGCCUCCUCACAAAGGGGGUCGCAUUGACCAGGCCCAGGUGACUGUUUACCAAAAACACAGGUCUCCGCAAAGUCGUAAGACCAUGUAUGGGGGCUGACACCUGUCCAGUGCUAGAAGGUCAAGGAAGUUGGUGACAUGAUGACGAGGGAGCUGAUGACCGAAGCCCCGGUGAAUGGUGGCCGUAAUUAUAACGGUCCUAAGGUAGCGAAAUUCCUUGUCCAGAUCCCGUAGAAAAUGCUUCUUUUAUGCCAUAG